UACGAAGGGUGCAAGCGUUACUCGGAAUUACUGGGCGUAAAGCGUGCGUAGGCGGUUUGUUAAGUCUGUCGUGAAAGCCCCGGGCUCAACUGGGGAAGUGCACCCGAAACUGAGUGGCUUGAGUGCGAAAGAGGGUCGCGGAAUUCCCGGUGUAGAGGUGAAAUUCGUAGAUAUCGGGAGGAACACCGGUGGCGAAGGCGGCGACCUGGGUCGACACUGACGCUGAGGCGCGAAAGCGUGGGGAGCAAACAGG
rnacentral:rRNA from 1 species